GGUGUAUCUCAGGUGUAUCUCAGGUGUUCCCAGGUGUAUCUCAGGUGUAUCCAGGUGUGUCCAGGUGUGUCUCAGGGCGGGGGCAGGAGGGGCACCAGCAGCCUGAGCGCCCCCAGCCCCAGCGCCGCCGCCCCCAAUGAACGCACAGGUGUGUCCAGGUGUAUCUCAGGUGUGUCCAGGUGUA